rnacentral:rRNA from 1 species
GAGUUUGAUCUUGGCUCAGAUUGAACGCUGGCGGCAUGCCUUACACAUGCAAGUCGAACGGCAGCACGGGAGCUUGCUCCUGGUGGCGAGUGGCGAACGGGUGAGUAAUGCAUCGGAACGUAUCCUGGAGUGGGGGAUAACGUAGCGAAAGUUACGUUAAUACCGCAUAUUCUGUGAGCAGGAAAGCGGGGGACCUUCGGGCCUCGCGCUCUUGGAGCGGCCGAUGUCGGAUUAGCUAGUUGGUGAGGUAAAGGCUCACCAAGGCGACGAUCCGUAGCAGGUCUGAGAGGAUGAUCUGCCACACUGGAACUGAGACACGGUCCAGACUCCUACGGGAGGCAGCAGUGGGGAAUUUUUGGACAAUGGGGGCAACCCUGAUCCAGCCGUGCCGCGUGAGUGAAGAAGGCC